UACGUAGGGUGCAAGCGUUGCCCGGAAUCAUUGGGCGUAAAGCGCGCGUAGGUGGCCCCAUAAGUCCGCUGUGAAAGUCAAAGGCUCAACCUUUGAAAGCCGGUGGAUACUGUGGGACUAGAGUACGGAAGAGGCGAGUGGAAUUCCUGGUGUAGCGGUGGAAUGCGCAGAUAUCAGGAGGAACACCAAUAGCGAAGGCAGCUCGCUGGGACGUUACUGACACUGAGGCGCGGAAGCGUGGGGAGCGAACAGG
rnacentral:rRNA from 1 species